CUCUCUCUCUCUCUCUCUAUCUGCUGCUGGAGAGCUCUCUCACAAACAGUGUGCAGUCCUGGCUGGUUUUCAGUUGUGUGUGUAGUGCAGAGCGGAUAGAGAGGGAGAAGACGAGGGGGAGACAGAUGAGGGACAGAGCAUUUUGAGAGAGAGGGGAAGAGAGAGAGAGAUGAGUGUUGUUCAUGUGAGCAACAACGGAGAAUAGAAGAAGGGAUGUUUACUAAGAAGAUAAACUCUGUGGGACUGAGAAGUUUUUUCCAUGAUUACAAAUCCUGCUAAGAGGAAAAGAACGGGGGCUCGUCUCCACCUGAGGGUUGAAGGCUGCAGCAAGAGCCAGAUCAAACACUCCGUGACUUUAUCACGUCCACCUGUCACACUCAGUGGGCUGCCAGGUUCCCCCCAUCACUGCAUCACGGCUAUGAAAUCAAUCUGCUGAGGGACGGGGGAUCGGACUGAGGGAUCAGACUGAUUGAUAAGAGACACUGGCAGGAAUCUACUGGAGUCGUAAGCAGCGUUUAGAUAGUGCAGACUGUGAAAUCAACAUCGCCAGAAGGUACUGCGAGGCUCAUCUGUAUGGCGGAGUGGCGGUGUGUCACACUAAAGAAGUGGAAAAGAAAAACAGAGCCUUGAGGAGUAAACAUUCGUCUAUGCAGUGACAGGGACGGGCUGACUUUCCUUAAAUAUUCAGCAGAAGCAAAUGUGCAUCAUGCCAAGGAACACUCACAAUGCACCAGGCAAUGGAGAGGUAAUGAUGAUAUAAUGGAUUCACACUCCUUCUCUUAAAAGAGGACAUAGCUGAUGCUCAGCUUCACUCAUUCGCUGAAAAUAAACCAAGGACAUCAUGGAAGCGACUUAAAAUUUCCUAUCUAAACUGACCAACCCUGGACACGGCCGUCCAGUCU